rnacentral:rRNA from 1 species
GAUGAACGCUAGCGGCAGGCCUAAUACAUGCAAGUCGAACGGUAACAUGAGUAGCAAUACUUGAUGACGAGUGGCGCACGGGUGCGUAACGCGUAUGCAAUCUACCUUUAACCGGUGAAUAGCCCGAAGAAAUUCGGAUUAAUACACCAUAGUAUGUUUGAGUGGCAUCACUUAAACAUUAAAGUUCCGACAGUUAAAGAUGAGCAUGCGUGACAUUAGCUAGUUGGUAAGGUAACGGCUUACCAAGGCAACGAUGUCUAGGGGAUCUGAGAGGAUUAACCCCCACACUGGUACUGAGACAGGGACCAGACUCCUACGGGAGGCAGCAGUAAGGAAUAUUGGACAAUGGUGGCAACACUGAUCCAGCCAUGCCGCGUGAAGGAUGAAGGCCCUAUGGGUUGUAAACUUCUUUUGUACGGGAAAAAACCUUCUUACGUGUAAGAAGCUGAUUGUACUGUAAGAAUAAGGAUCGGCUAACUCCGUGCCAGCCGCCGCGGUAAAAC